rnacentral:rRNA from 1 species
UUGAUUACGUCCCUGCCCUUUGUACACACCGCCCGUCGCUGCCUAGAACUGAGCCAUUUCGAGAAUAUUCGGGAUCGCUGGUUGCGCGCUCUUCGGGGCGUGCCUCCGGCCGGAGAACGAACGUGAUCGCAGUGGCUUGAACCGGGCAAAAGUCGUAACAAGGUAGCUGUAGGUGAACCUGCUGCUGGAUCAUUACCUUGUCCGCUACGACAUAGUAACGAUGUUGUGUUGGAAGUUGGGAGCCGUGGUCGUAGUCUGUGAACAUCGUGUGUUGUGUGAUCCGCCUCGAUCCACACACACACGCUUCCGACGAGCUCCCUGGGCUAGUCUAUGUGAGCGCCUCAGAAGCAGGCACAAUGUGCAAGCAGCCUUGCCCCUCCACAGGCUCUUGCUUGACUCCAUGCCCAUAGACGAAAACGGCUGUGCUGGAUCCUAAGCAAUGCGGAGCAGUUGUGCGUCUGUUCAAAGUCCGUGGCUGCCGUGAAGCGUUGCAGUAGACCCCAUCACUGGUGCGAACAGUUGGGAGUAGGAUUAAUGAGUACUAGUCUUAGUGCCGCCAGCAAAAUCUUUCCUUUUUCAAUAUUUUUUUUUAUAAAACACAAAAAUGUAUUAGUCUUGCCGGUGGAUCACUCGGCUCGU